GGGUUUCACAUCAGUAUAGGAAGAAGACAUCUUGAUUUUUUGAAAAUGAAGAUGAAGGGAAUUAAUGAUACUGAAUAUGAGUGCCAUAGAGAAAACAAGAAAAAAGGAUGAGGAUUUUUUAUUUUAUUUUUUUUUUGGAAAAAGAGGUAUGAAAACCUCAGUACAUGAUAUUACGAAUUGUCAUUACAUCUUGAUCCCCGAUUUGGAUGUUCAGAAAGUUUAAUAAAUCUCAUAAUCUAUCUUCCGUCCAGAUAUGCUUAACAUUAAAAUUAUUACAGAAUAAAGAGAGUUUUACUUCCCAUAUGAUGUCUAUUUUUUUCACUAAAAUAAAAUCAUGGGCUCUAAAGUUAAUUUCAAACUUUUUAGUAUUUCCAAAAUCUUCGCUGAUCAUGUAUCUUUUUCUACGACCUUCGUCAUACAAUCCCACCAGCAACACUAGAAUCGGCUCUGAAUCGCUACUAAAGGAGAUCAUGUGGCCACUCCAAUCGGUUGCCAAUGGAAAGCUGGUUCCGCUCCUUCCCUUUCUAGCUCCUCUAAGGUUGUGAUGUCAGUGAAGACUAAACAGUCGUCGGCAAAAGAAGAUGGCUCAACGAAGGAGCUUUAUGAACUAGUUUUAUAUAAAAGGAUGAGGAUUGAAUACAAUUGUCCAGUAUUUCUUUCUUCGCUGUAUGUGGAUUAAUGAAGUGAAAGGCCGAGCAAACACGUAAUUAUUUUUUUGAUAGCAAGGGGUUGGAAGACUCGCUACUCAUAUUUUCUAACCAAAUAGCCCAAGAACAACUUUGUUUUUUUAUUCAUUGAUCGAUGGAUGUUGCGA